GUUAAAGAAAACCAGAAAUGGCUGACUUUGUGUUUGGUUUAAACUUAAGUGCCCAGUUUGUCACUCACCAUUCAUUUUUUUUUUAUUUUUUAUUUUACAGCUCCUUGUGCAGAUAUCCGGAACUUUUCUGUAUUAUGGUGCAAAGAAUGAACAAACGAGUUUUCCAGAAUUUCAGACCUUCCAAGGGGCACGGCACUUAUAAAACUAUUUUGAAUAGGCGGCAAAUUAAUAUCUGCUUAUUAACUUUAAAAUGGCUAGUACUGGUUGUGUAAGAUGUCUAAACAGUCAGUCAGACUAACCUGUUUGUGACUUCUUGUUUUUUGUUUGUUUAAUAAACCAAAGUGUAAGAAUUGAUUUUUGUAUUUCAAUAAUCACUAAACUGUUAUCUCCAUAUUAAAGUGAAACUUUGAAAACUUUGUUUCCUAGUGUUGCUAAAGGCAGCUGCUCUUAAAC